rnacentral:rRNA from 1 species
UACAGAGGGUGCAAGCGUUGUUCGGAAUUAUUGGGCGUAAAGGGCGCGUAGGCGGCCUGAUAAGUAGGGGGUGAAAUCCUGCGGCUUAACCGCAGGGCUGCCUUCUAAACUGUCAGGCUAGAGCACGGUAGAGGCAGAUGGAAUUCCCGGUGUAGCGGUGGAAUGCGUAGAGAUCGGGAAGAACAUCAGUGGCGAAGGCGGUCUGCUGGGCCGUUGCUGACGCUGAGGCGCGACAGCGUGGGGGAGCAAACAGG